GGGCCGGUAGAUCAGCCUGGUAGAUCGUCCGCUUUGCAAGCGGGAGGCCACGGGUUCGAAUCCCGUCCGGUCCA
rnacentral:tRNA from 1 species